rnacentral:tRNA from 1 species
GCUGGGUGGCUCAGCGGUAGAUUGCUCGCCUUGUACGUGUGAGACCCUGGGUUUGAUCCUCAGUACCACA